CAGUCGCCGCGGUAAUACAGAGGGUGCAAGCGUUAAUCGGAAUUACUGGGCGUAAAGCGCGCGUAGGUGGUUUGUUAAGUCGGAUGUGAAAUCCCUGAGCUUAACUUAGGAAUUGCAUUCGAUACUGGGAAGCUAGAGUAUGGGAGAGGAUGGUAGAAUUCCAGGUGUAGCGGUGAAAUGCGUAGAGAUCUGGAGGAAUACCGAUGGCGAAGGCAGCCAUCUGGCCUAAUACUGACGCUGAGGUACGAAAGCAUGGGGAGCAAACAGGAUUAGAUACCCGCGUAGUCCCUGUCUCUUAUAC
rnacentral:rRNA from 1 species